CGAAAGUACAGAUAUCCCUGUCGAAUCGUCGAGAAAACAACGCUUGAUCGUUCUGGCUGCGACUUGGUGGGUAAUCUGGACGGAUAGAAACAACUAUGUUUUCAACGGAAAGCCGCCCAAUGUUUCCGGAUCUCUAGAACGUCUCAAACUACUGAUCAGCAAUUGGACCACAUUGCUCUGAAGCCCCUUGUACCCCCCCUCUAUUUCUCUUUCUGUCGUGACUUUGUCCUUCUUUUCUCUUCCUUUUUGCUCUUAUUUUAAUUUUCUCCUUUUGCCGGCUCCUCGGAGGCCUAAGCUGCUUCCAAUCUGUAUGCUCAGUUCAUUUGACUUAAUGAAUGAAGCAGGUAGCUUGCUACCUAUUU
rnacentral:lncRNA from 1 species